rnacentral:ncRNA from 2 species
AGCAAGAAGAAGGAUUAAGGUUCUUUGUACGUGUUACAAAGCUAAGAGGGAAAUCGGUGCGGAAAAAUCCAAAGCCGGUGCUGCCCCCGCAACUGUAAACAGGUAGCCAGGAUCAUUUUUACCACUGAUAGUAAUAUCGGGAAGGUUGAUCUUAGGUGAUGAUCUGUAAGUCAGGAGACCUGCCUUAACCCUGUUAUCCAU